AUUACUUUGGAAAUAUAAUUUUUGAAAGGAAGGUAAAAAAUUGAAAUUGUCUGCUCUAGUAAUACCCAGGUUAUGUAGAUAUAGUUGUCUUUUUCUUUAAGGAGAUAAUAGGGAAUGGAGAACUGGAAUGACCACCCUUAUUAUCUUAGUAACGCCCUUAUCUGAUACCCAUGGAUGGUGGGGGAGACGGAGAGGAAAACAACAUGUAUCCAGUCAUUUAAAUUGAACACCCAAAGCGUUGGUCCGGAAUUUUGUUCUGAUGUCGCAGGAAUAAUCUAC